CACUGAUUUAAGAAAGCUUUUGCUAAUUUUCGCCACAUCUAAGACACUCAAGUUUGAAAAUUUUGUCUUUGUCCAAGGGAUAAAUUGCACAGUGUAUUCCACAAUAAGAAAGCUAUUUGUUUAAGACUUUUAUUAAUGAUUUCCUUCCAUACAAGCGUAUUAAAACAAGGCAAGAGGUGUUUAUAUAUUUACGCAGGCACAGUCACAGAUGUCAACAGUUGAAUUUACAUUUAUAUAUUGACAAUUUUCGAUCGUUCCUUUUCGUGUUACAAUUUCGACUAAAUCACUGCACUUUCAGCUUAUUAUGAUAUAAAAUGUCGUCAACAAUUUGAAUAGAAAUUUGUAUAUAUCAACGAUAAACUUUCAAUUGAAACCUUCUCUUGACAAAUGUCUUGACAUGAAUCGACGACAUAAUUGUGAAUUCACUGCUCUGCAAAGUCACUCGUUAAUAUCUCUAAACAAUCCCAGUAAAUCGCUGCGUUAGCUCUCGAUAACGUUCUCAGCUCCUUAGUCAAAGUUCCCUUUGUAUUUGCAAUGUUGAAGAGCAAGAUUAUUCGUUAAUUUUACAGUUUUACUCGUCUUCUAAGCCAUCGUGUUGAAAACAAAAUUUUCUUCACUCCUUGCCGUAAGC